UGGAGAGUUUGAUCCUGGCUCAGGACGAACGCUGGCGGCGUGCUUAACACAUGCAAGUCGAACGGAAAGGCCUCUUCGGAGGUACUCGAGUGGCGAACGGGUGAGUAACACGUGGGUAAUCUGCCCUGCACUUCGGGAUAAGCCUGGGAAACUGGGUCUAAUACCGGAUAGGACCUUUUGGCGCAUGCCUUUUGGUGGAAAGCUUUUGCGGUGUGGGAUGGGCCCGCGGCCUAUCAGCUUGUUGGUGGGGUGACGGCCUACCAAGGCGACGACGGGUAGCCGGCCUGAGAGGGUGUCCGGCCACACUGGGACUGAGAUACGGCCCAGACUCCUACGGGAGGCAGCAGUGGGGAAUAUUGCACAAUGGGCGCAAGCCUGAUGCAGCGACGCCGCGUGGGGGAUGACGGCCUUCGGGUUGUAAACCUCUUUCAGCAGGGACGAAGCGCAAGUGACGGUACCUGCAGAAGAAGCACCGCCAACUACGUGCCAGCAGCCGCGGUA
rnacentral:rRNA from 1 species